GGCACACAAAAGGAGCGCAAUAAAUCUCUGCUGACUGCAGAGAUGCCUGGUUGGUCCAAGGUGCCAGUGGGUGCACAAGAGCACAGGCUGGGCAAGCUGUUCAUCGUCCCCUCCCUGUGGUGUGCUUCCGAUACAGCCUCUUUCAUGGAGCCUGCCUGCACCCCAUCCAGCUAGGGUUGAGAUAUGGCUUGAGCUGUCCACUCAAGGGCCCAUGCGAUGGAGACUUAGCCCUCAGAGGGUCUGGUUUGAAAUUUGCAGUCAUAGGGAGAAUUAAGUGGUGGAUUCUAGCCAGUUUGUGGUGAACAGAAGUGGCACGUCACAGUUCCUGGGCUGGACCUCUGGCUGCCAGUGUGAGACCCUCCAGCGUUCUCUGCCUAUCUGCAAAGGUGCCAGUCAGAUGCAUGGGGCAGAGUUUUAGCCGACUCAAUGGACACAGAGCCCGGGUGAUGGCCAGCAUGAAUUCUUCUGCUUGAUCCAGGGACCCUUGAGAGUGUGAGCUCCAUGUGGACAAGAACCAUAUCAGUCUUGCCUGAUGCAGGUCUUAAGGUCUUGCUUCUGGAAGUCUCUGUUGGUCCUGCUCAUUAUACUCUGACUCCAGUGUCACUGUCUUAUGACAUAGACCUUUCUGACAUUUUUUCUAAGCUGAAGUCUUCAUCAGUAGUGCUGCUAAGGAGUGCAUUCUCCCCCUAAUCACAUGCAUGGAGGCUUUCCUUGGG